rnacentral:rRNA from 1 species
UGCUAGUUGUACGAGCUUAGACUCGUUGCGGAAAGCUCAGUAACACGUGGACAAACUACCCUACGGAGAGCCAUAACCUCGGGAAACUGAGGCUAAUAGUUCAUAGGGGAGUCGCGCUGGAAGUGCCGACUCUCCCAAACGCUCCGGCGCCGUAGGAUGUGUCUGCGGCCGAUUAGGUAGACGGUGGGGUAACGGCCCACCGCGCCGAUAAUCGGUACGGGUUGUGAGAGCAAGAGCCCGGAGACGGAAUCUGAGACAAGAUUCCGGGCCCUACGGGGCGCAGCAGGCGCGAAACCUUUACACUGUACGCAAGUGCGAUAAGGGGACCCCAAGUGCGAGGGCAUAUAGUCCUCGCUUUUCCCGACUGUAAGGCGGUCGGGGAAUAAGAGCUAGGCAAGACCGGUGCCAGCCGCCGCGGUAAUACCGGCAGCUCAAGUGAUGACCGAUAUUAUUGGGCCUAAAGCGUCCGUAGCCGGCCACGAAGGUCUAUCGGGAAAUCCGCCAGCUUAACUGGCGGGCGUCCGGUAGAAACCACGUGGCUUGGGACCGGAAGGCUCGAGGGGUACGUCCGGGGUAGGAGUGAAAUCCUGUAAUCCUGGACGGACCACCGAUGGCGAAAGCACCUCGAGAAGACGGAUCCGACGGUGAGGGACGAAAGCUAGGGUCUCGAACCGGAUUAGAUACCCGGGUAGUCCUAGCUGUAAACGAUGCUCGCUAGGUGUGGCACAGGCUACGAGCCUGUGCUGUGCCGUAGGGAAGCCGAGAAGCGAGCCGCCUGGGAAGUACGUCUGCAAGGAUGAACUUAA